UGGGGAAUAUUGGACAAUGGGGGGAACCCUGAUCCAGCCAUGCCGCGUGUGUGAAGAAGGCCUUAUGGUUGUAAAGCACUUUAAGCGAGGAGGAGGCUCUCUUGGUUAAUACCCAAGAAGAGUGGACGUUACUCGCAGAAUAAGCACCGGCUAACUCUGUGCCAGCAGCCGCGGUAAUACAGAGGGUGCGAGCGUUAAUCGGAUUUACUGGGCGUAAAGCGUGCGUAGGCGGCUUUUUAAGUCGGAUGUGAAAUCCCCGAGCUUAACUUGGGAAUUGCAUUCGAUACUGGGAAGCUAGAGUAUGGGAGAGGAUGGUAGAAUUCCAGGUGUAGCGGUGAAAUGCGUAGAGAUCUGGAGGAAUACCGAUGGCGAAGGCAGCCAUCUGGCCUAAUACUGACGCUGAGGUACGAAAGCAUGGAGAGCAAACAGG
rnacentral:rRNA from 1 species